rnacentral:lncRNA from 1 species
GGGUCCUAUAGGGCCGUGGGGUCCUAUGGGGGCUGUGGGGUCCUAUGGGGUCUGUGGGGGCUGUGGGUCCCACCCGUGUCUGUGGGCCCCAUAGGGAUGUGGGGUCUGUGGGGUCCUAUGGGGUCUGUGGGGUCCUAUGGGGUCUGUGGGGUCUGUGGGCUCUGUGGGGCUGUGUGGGCUGUAGGAUCCUAUGGGGUCUGUGGGGUCCUAUGGGGGUCUGUGGGGUCUGUGGGUCCCACCCGUGUCUGUGGGCCCCAUAGGGAUGUGGGGUCUGUGGUGUCCUAUGGGAUCUGUGGGGUCCUAUGGGGUCUGUGGGCUCUGUGGGCUCUGUGGGGCUGUGUGGGCUGUGGGAUCCUAUGGGGUCUGUGGGAUCCUAUGGGGUCUGUGGGGUCUGUGGGUCCCACCCGUGUCUGUGGGCCCCAUAGGGAUGUGGGGGCUGUGGGGUCCUAUGGGGUCUGUGGGGUCUGUGGGUCCCACCCGUGUCUGUGGGCCCCAUAGGGCUGUGGGUUCUGUGGGGUCCUAUGGGGUCCUGAGGGGUCUGUGGGGUCCUAUGGGGUCUGUGGGGUCUGUGGGCUCUGUGGGGCUGUGUGGGCUGUGGGAUCCUAUGGGGUCUGUGGGAUCCUAUGGGGUCUGUGGGGUCUGUGGGUCCCACCCGUGUCUGUGGGCCCCAUAGGGAUGUGGGGGCUGUGGUGUCCUAUGGGGUCCUGUGGGGUCUGUGGGGGUCUAUGGGGUCUGUGGGGUUCUGUGGGUCCUGUGGGGGGUCCUAUGGGGUUUGUGGGUUCCUAUGGGGUCUGUGGGGUUCUGUGGGUCCUGUGGGGGUCCUAUAGGGUUCUAUGGGGUUCUGUGGGUUCUGUGGGGUCCUAUAGGGUUCUGUGGGGUUCUGUGGGUCCUAUGGGGUUCUGUGGGUCCGGUGGGGUCCUAUAGGGUUUUAUGGGGUUCUGUGGGUCCUGUGGGGUCCUAUGGGGUUCUAUAGGGUUCUGUGGGUUCUGUGGGGUCCUAUAGGGUUCUGUGGGGUUCUGUGGGUCCUGUGGGGUCCUAUAGGGUUUUAUGGGGUUCUGUGGGUUCUAUAGGGUUCUGUGGGUCCUGUGGGGUCCUAUAGGGUUCUAUGGGGUUCUGUGGGUCCUGUGGGGUCCUAUAGGGUUCUGUGGUGUCACAGGGUGACGCAGGGACCCCAUAGAGACCCAAAGGGGGACGGCGGCACCCCAUAGGGACCCCAUAGGGACCCCAUAGGGGAACACCCAUAGGGUGACAGCGGGACCCCGUAAAGACCCCAUAGGGGGACACUGGGACCCCAUAGGGACCCCAUAGAGACACCUAUAGGGUGACGCCAGGACCCCAUAGGGACCCUAUAGCGACCUCACGGCUGCCCCAUAUUGGGACGCCCAGAGGGGCCCCAUAGGGGGACUCCCAUAGGGUGACAGCGGGGCACAAAUAGGGUCACCCGUAGGGACCCCAUAGGGGGACUCCCAUAGGGUCAUGUAGGGGCUUUACAUGGGGUCAGCACAUGGGGGACCCUAUAGCGACCCCAUAGCAGCCCCACAGGGACCCCAUAUAAGGACCCUAAAUAGGGACCCCAUAGGGUGACACCGGGACCCCAUAGGGACCCCAUAGGGGACCCCAUAGGGACCCCAUAAGGACCCCAUAGGGUCACACCGGGACCCCAUAGGGACCCCAUAGGGACCCCAUAAGGACCCCAUAGGGACCCCUUAGGGGGACACCCAUAGGGUUGACACCGGGACCCCAUAGAGCCCCACAGAGACCCAGUUGGGCCCCCAUAGGACCCCGUAGGGCCACCCUAUGGUGACACCGGGACCCCAUAGGGACCCCAUAGGGACCCCAUAGGGUGACACCGGGACCCCAUAGAGACCCCAUAGGGACCCCAUAGGGUGACACCGGGGACCCCAUAGAGACCCCAUAGGGACCCCAUAUAGGGACCCUGUAGGGGAACACCCAUAGGGUGACACAGGGACCCCAUAUAGGGACCCCAUAGGGGGACACCGGGACCCCACAGAGACCCCAUAGGGACACCCAUAGGGACAGCCAUAGGGUGACACGGGGACCCCAUAGGGACCCCAUAAGGACCCCAUAGGGUCACACCGGGACCCCAUAGGGACCCCUUAGGGACCCCUUAGGGGGACACCCAUAGGGUUGACACUGGGACCCCAUAGGGCCCCACAGAGACCCAGUUGGGCCCCCAUAGGACCCCGUAGGGCCACCCUAUGGUGACACCGGGACCCCAUAGGGACCCCAUAGGGACAGCCAUAGGGUGACACGGGGACCCCAUAGAGACCCCAUAGGGAUCCCAUAGAGUGACACCGGGACCCCAUAGGGACGCCAUAGGGACACCAUAGGGACCCCAUAGGGACCCCAUAGGGUGACACCAGGACCCCAUAGGGACCCAUAGGGACCCCAUAGGGUGACACUGGGACCCCAUAGGGACGCCAUAGGAACCCCAUAGGGACGCCAUAGGGACGCCAUAGGGACCCCAUAGGGACCCCAUAGGGUGACACCGGGACCCCAUAGGGACCCCAUAGGGACCCCAUAGGGUGACACUGGGACCCCAUAAGGACCCCAUAAGGACCCCAUAAGGACCCCAUAAGGACCCCAUAGGGUCACACCGGGACCCCAUAGGGACCCCAUAGGGCGGGGCGCAGUGCCGGGGGGGCAGUGCUAAAUAUAGGGCAGCGCGUGGCUGCCACAAAUAGCGCCGCGGGGUAUAGGGC